rnacentral:lncRNA from 1 species
UUCCACAGACAUGGACAGCUGGGAGUGGCUUGCACAAGAGCAUCCUGAGAAAUUCUCUGGAGUCAAGGGCAAUAGAACCUGGGUGCACAAAAACAAAAGAUUUGAAAAGAACAGAAGGACUUUAACCCAAAGGAAUAUCCACUUGAAAGCCAUGCCUUUACUGACCAGGACAUCUGGACCCAGUGAAUUUUUUAUACAGUGCAGAUUUGAAAUGAAUGUGAAACAUCUGUUUAGCAGUCCCACAAAUGGAUUUUACGUGGCUAGUAUAUUGAAUGUGAUAGGCUACCAAAUGUUUUCUGCAUUCUGUAUUUGUUCAUACACGUCUUUGCAUCCUUAGCAUUUUAUUCAGUUUUCUGUGGUAUGGAAUAAAAGCUGUCUCAUAUCCA